rnacentral:rRNA from 1 species
GGAAUAUUGGACAAUGGGGGCAACCCUGAUCCAGCCAUGCCGCGUGGAUGAAGAAGGCCCUAGGGUUGUAAAGUCCUUUCGGUGGUGAAGAUAAUGACGGUAACAACAUAAUAAGCCACGGCUAAUUUCGUGCCAGCAGCAGCGGUAAUAAGAAAGGGGCUAGCGUUGUUCGGAAUUACUGGGCGUAAAGCGCGCGUAGGCGGCUUUGUAAGUUGGGGGUGAAAUCCCGGAGCUCAACUCCGGAACUGCCUCCAAAACUACAUGGCUUGAGGACGCGAGAGGAUAGUGGAAUUCCGAGUGUAGAGGUGAAAUUCGUAGAUAUUCGGAAGAACACCAGUGGCGAAGGCAACUGUCUGGCGCGUUUCUGACGCUGAGGUGCGAAAGCGUGGGGAGCAAAC